rnacentral:rRNA from 1 species
GAUGAACGCUGGCGGCGUGCCUAAUACAUGCAAGUCGAGCGAGCGGACGAGAAGCUUGCUUCUCUGAUGUUAGCGGCGGACGGGUGAGUAACACGUGGAUAACCUACCUAUAAGACUGGGAUAACUUCGGGAAACCGGAGCUAAUACCGGAUAAUAUUUUGAACCGCAUGGUUCAAAAGUGAAAGACGGUCUUGCUGUCACUUAUAGAUGGAUCCGCGCUGCAUUAGCUAGUUGGUAAGGUAACGGCUUACCAAGGCAACGAUGCAUAGCCGACCUGAGAGGGUGAUCAGCCACACUGGAACUGAGACACGGUCCAGACUCCUACGGGAGGCAGCAGUAGGGAAUCUUCCGCAAUGGGCGAAAGCCUGACGGAGCAACGCCGCGUGAGUGAUGAAGAUCUUCGGAUCGUAAAACUCUGUUAUUAGGGAAGAACAUAUGUGUAAGUAACUGUGCACAUCUUGACGGUACCUAAUCAGAAAGCCACGGCUAACUACGUG